rnacentral:rRNA from 1 species
UUUUAUGGAGAGUUUGAUCCUGGCUCAGGAUGAAUGCUGGCGGCGUGCCUAAUACAUGCAAGUCGAGCGGUAACAGGGGUAGUUUACUACCCGCUGACGAGCGGCGGACGGCUGAGUAACGCGUGGGAACAUGCCCCAAAGUGAGGAAUAACCGCCCGAAAGGGUGGCUAAUGCCGCAUAUGGUCUUCGGAUUAAAGGAUUUAUCCGCUUUGGGAGUGGCCUGCGUACGAUUAGAUAGUUGGUGAGGUAAAGGCUCACCAAGUCGACGAUCGUUAACUGUUCUGAGAGGAUGAUCAGUCAGACUGGAACUGAGACACGGUCCAGACUCCUACGGGAGGCAGCAGUAAGGAAUCUUCCACAAUGGGCGAAAGCCUGAUGGAGCAACGCCGCGUGCAGGAUGAAGGCCUUCGGGUUGUAAACUGCUUUUAUAAGUGAAGAAUAUGACGGUAACUUAUGAAUAAGCACCGGCUAACUACGUGCCAGCAGCCGCGGUCAUACGUAGGGUGCAAGCAUUAUCCGGAGUGACUGGGCGUAAAGAGUUGCGUAGGUGGUUU